rnacentral:rRNA from 1 species
GAUGAACGCUGGCGGCGUGCCUAAUACAUGCAAGUCGAGCGAACAGACGAGGAGCUUGCUCCUCUGACGUUAGCGGCGGACGGGUGUGUAACACGUGGAUAACCUACCUAUAAGACUGGGAUAACUUCGGGAAACCGGAGCUAAUACCGGAUAAUAUAUUGAACCGCAUGGUUCAAUAGUGAAAGACGGUUUUGCUGUCACUUAUAGGUGGAUCCGCGCCGCAUUAGCUAGUUGGUAAGGUAACGGCUUACCAAGGCAACGAUGCGUAGCCGACCUGAGAGGGUGAUCGGCCACACUGGAACUGAGACACGGUCCAGACUCCUACGGGAGGCAGCAGUAGGGAAUCUUCCGCAAUGGGCGAAAGCCUGACGGAGCAACGCCGCGUGAGUGAUGAAGGUCUUCGGAUCGUAAAACUCUGUUAUUAGGGAAGAACAAAUGUGUAAGUAACUAUGCACGUCUUGACGGUACCUAAUCAGAAAGCCACGGCUAACUACGUG